UUUCGGGGUGCACCAGGCGCGAAAACUUUACAAUGCGGGAAACCGUGAUAAGGGAACUCCGAGUGCCCGUAAAAUCGGGCUGUCCAUCUGUUUAAAUAACAGGUGAAGAAAGGGCCGGGCAAGACCGGUGCCAGCCGCCGCGGUAAUACCGGCGGCUCGAGUGGUGGCCACUAUUACUGGGCUUAAAGCGUUCGUAGCUGGUCUGUUAAGUCUCUGGGGAAAUCUACUGGCUUAACCAAUAGGCGUUUCAGGGAUACUGGCAGACUAGGGACCGGGAGAGGUGAGGGGUACUCCAGGGGUAGGAGUGAAAUCCUGUAAUCCUUGGGGGACCACCUGUGGCGAAGGCGCCUCACCAGAACGGCUCCGACAGUGAGGGACGAAAGCUGGGGGAGCAAACCGGAUUAGAUACCCGGGUAGUCCCAGCCGUAAACGAUGCGCGUUAGGUGUAUCGGUGACCACGAGUCACCGAGGUGCCGAAGAGAAAUCGUGAAACGUGCCGCCUGGGAAGUACGGUCGCAAGGCGGAAACUUAAAGGAAUUGGCGGGGGAGCA
rnacentral:rRNA from 1 species